GCCCGUGACUAUACAGACGAGGAAACGCCUUGCUCCAUCUCGAACCAAGAAGCUAAGCUCGUCCUGGCUGAUGAUACUCUCCCUUACUGGG
rnacentral:rRNA from 1 species